UUGUGGCCGAGCUUGCUGCUGGGGAAGGUUUUCAAUGGUCGCCAGCGUGAACUCGGCUGCCCCGUGGAGUGUCCGGGAAGAACCCUCGCUCCCGACCCCAGAGUCGGCCCCGGGCCCAGGUGGCGCUCAUCUCUGCUCGAACAAGUUUUGUCUUGUAUCACUUUCUCUUUUCCCCCCCGGGGGUACCAUUUGGUACCCUGCCCAGACUGCCGCGGCUCUGAGAGCCUCGUUUCGGGGUUGCUGGAUGCAGAGGAGAAAAGUUUGCCUGUAAUUAAGUCCUUCUGCUCAGCUGGAGUAAAUUGGUGGGAGGGGCUUAAAAAGAAAUCCCUGGUGUUCUGGCCAGAUGUGUUGCAGUUGUUAAAGUCGUCGGCUCUAAAUACUUGGAGGGCCAUCACUCCCAGCAAAUGUACAACUUUCGGAUUACUUCCAGACUUGAAGGUGGACAUUCUGGACAAGUUUCUGUGAGCACAUUUUCUGUUGGAUGAUCUAAAAUGCAAAAACAAAACCGGCUGACUCCAGAUUCUGUGCUCAGGGACCACUCCUGGAGGGGCUUGGAGGACCAUAUGGGGUGCCAGGGGUCAAACCCAAGUCGGCUGCAUGCAAGGCAAGCACCCUGCCUACAGUACUAUCACUUUGGUCCCACGUUAUAUUUCUUUCACAAAGAAAACUCAGGCAUCUCUUUCUUUUAAGUGGCCUGCUCAAGGUCAGGAAGUUGGCCAACUAUGGAGAUGAGAAUAAAAUCCAAGUCUAUCUAAAGUAAAUGUUAUCACUCUACCGUAUACAUUCUUUUCAUGAAGACUAAGUAGACAUAGUUGAGGUUAAGUUCA